rnacentral:other from 19 species
GUUUCAGACGAACCCUUGUGGGGUUGAAGC